AGCUUGUUGGUAAGGUAAUGGCUUACCAAGGCUAUGACGGAUAGCUGGUCUGAGAGGAUGAUCAGUCACAAUGGAACUGAGACACGGUCCAUACUCCUACGGGAGGCAGCAGUGAGGAAUCUUCCGCAAUGGGCGCAAGCCUGACGGAGCAACACCGCGUGAAGGAUGACAGUCGUAAGAUUGUAAACUUCUUUUCUGAAGGAAGAAUUCUGACGGUACUUCAGGAAUAAGCAUCGGCUAACUACGUGCCAGCAGCCGCGGUAAGACGUAGGAUGCAAGCGUUAUCCGGAAUUAUUGGGCGUAAAGAGUUCGUAGGCGGUUAGUUAAGUUGGAUGUUAAAGCUUUGAGCUCAACUCAAAGACUGUAUCCAAAACUGGCAAACUAGAGACAGGUAGAGGCAAGUGGAAUUCUGCAUGUAGGAGUAAUAUCCGUAGAUAUGCAGAGGAACACCAAAAGCGAAGGCAGCUUGCUGGACCUGUUCUGACGCUAAAGAACGAAAGCGUGGGUAGCGAACGGGAUUAAAUACCCCGGUAGUCCACGCCCUAAACUAUGAAUACUAGGUGUUGGUGGCUUCGACCCCUCCAGUGCCGACGCUAACGCAUUAAGUAUUCCGCAUGGGUAGUACGAGCGCAAGCUUAAAACUCAAAGGAAUAGACGGGGACCCACACAAGCGGUGGAGCAUCUGGUUUAAUUCGACAAUAAGCGAGGAACCUUACCUAGACUUGACAUCCCGGGAAGAUCGCCGAAAGGUGAUUGUGCCGUUAGGAACCCGGUGACAGGUGCUGCAUGGUUGUCGUCAGCUCGUGCCUUGAGGUGUUCGGUUAAGUCCGUGAACGAGCGCAACCCUUGUCUCAAGUUGUAUAUUUCUUGAGAGACUGCCGGUUCUAAAUCGGAGGAAGGCAAGGACGACGUCAAAUCAGCAUGGCCCUUAUGUCUAGGGCGACACAGGUGCUACAAUGGCCGGUACAAUGGGCUGCUAAGGAGUAAUCUGGAGCUAAUCCCAAAAACCGGUCCAAGUUCGGAUUGAGGGCUGCAACUCGCCCUCAUGAAGUUGGAAUCGCUAGUAAACGCGUAUCAGCCAUGGCGCGUUGAAUAUGUUCCUGGGUCUUGUACUCACCGCCCGUCAAGUCACGAAAGAUGGGGGUGCCCGAAGUUCCCUUAGCUAAUUGAGCGGGGGCCUAAGGCAAAACCAUUAAUUGGGACUAAGUCGUAACAAGGUAUCCGUAGGAGAACCUGCGGAUG
rnacentral:rRNA from 1 species